CCAAAAUUAAGCAUCUCGGCCGUCAAAAGCCCCGAAGCUUUAAUCCUUUGUGAACCAAAACCAUUUUCGCUUCGGCAGCUGGGGCUCCGCUCCGUCAGCCUGCCGACAGCACCAACGUCAAACUUGCAGCUUAUUCUGUCUGAAUCAAACUUUUUGAAUUAAAAAUCA
rnacentral:misc_RNA from 1 species